rnacentral:lncRNA from 1 species
CCUACCACCUUCGACCAUUUUAAUGCUAGAUGGGACUCCUGUGGAAAUGGUGGACUGUAGGUCUUGGGGGAGGAGGGAAGAUGGGCGAAUUUGAAGCAGAGGGAGAGAGAAAGAGAUAAUUCCCCAAAGAAGGAGAAAUGGUCGAUUAACCCCUAAGGGGUGGUCCUCCCAGGCGAUCCAAGAAAGCCUAAUAGCAACUGCAGGGAGAAGAUAACAAUUCUAUUGUCUCUGAUUGGCAAAUACGAAAAAAGAUUGACAGUAUCAAGUGGAGGGAAUGCAGGGGGCGGGCUGCAGUGUUAAAUGGGAGGGGUAACUGAAGACUGGAGCUCAUUGAUGACGCGAUCUUCACGUGACCAGGAGUCGACGUGUGCAGAAGUCCUUAUAGUCCAGGGCCUGUUUCCCAGUAGCAGCUCCGUAUUACUGGAGGAAAGUGCCCCGGAUCCUUUCAGGAUUAUUCAAAAGAA